AGAGUUUGAUCCUGGCUCAGAACGAACGCUGGCGGCGUGCCUAACACAUGCAAGUCGAACGGAUUUGAGGGGCUUGCUCCUCAAGUUAGUGGCGCACGGGUGAGUAACGCGUAGAUAAUCUGCCUGACGAUCUGGGAUAACACUUCGAAAGGGGUGCUAAUACCGGAUAAGCCCACGGGGACUUUGGUCUUUGCGGGAAAAGGGGGGGACCUUUUGGCCUUCUGUCGUCAGAUGAGUCUGCGUACCAUUAGCUAGUUGGUAGGGUAAUGGCCUACCAAGGCGACGAUCAGUAGCCGGCCUGAGAGGGUGAACGGCCACAUUGGGACUGAGAUACGGCCCAGACUCCUACGGGAGGCAGCAGUUAAGAAUCUUGCACAAUGGGCGAAAGCCUGAUGCAGCGACGCCGCGUGAAUGAUGAAGGCCUUCGGGUUGUAAAGUUCAGUAAGCAGGGAAGAAUAAGCAAGAGGUAAUAUUUCUUGUGAUGACGGUACCUGCCUAAAGCCCCGGCUAACUACGUGCCAGCAGCCGCGGUAAUACGUAUGGGGCGAGCGUUGUUCGGAAUUAUUGGGCGUAAAGGGCGUCUAGGCGGGAAAUUAAGUUAGGUGUGAAAGCUAUGGGCUCAACCCAUAAACUGCAUCUAAAACUGAUUUUCUUGAGUUCGGGAGAGGAGAGCGGAAUUCCAGGUGUAGCGGUGAAAUGCGUAGAUAUCUGGAAGAACACCAGUGGCGAAGGCGGCUCUCUGGCCUAGAACUGACGCUGAAGCGCGAAAGCGUGGGGAGCGAACAGGAUUAGAUACCCUGGUAGUCC
rnacentral:rRNA from 1 species